rnacentral:rRNA from 1 species
UACAGAGGUCUCAAGCGUUGUUCGGAUUCAUUGGGCGUAAAGGGUGCGUAGGUGGGCAGGUAAGUCAGUGGUGAAAUCUCCGGGCUUAACCCGGAAACUGCCGUUGAUACUAUCUGUCUUGAAUAUAGUGGAGGUGAGCGGAAUAUGUCAUGUAGCGGUGAAAUGCUUAGAUAUGACAUAGAACAUCGAUUGCGAAGGCAGCCCGCUACGCUAUUAUUGACACUGAGGCACGAAAGCGUGGGGAUCAAACAGG